rnacentral:rRNA from 1 species
UACGAAGGGUGCAAGCGUUAUCCGGAAUUAUUGGGCGUAAAGAGUGAGCAGGCGGCAUGGCAAGUCUGAGGUGAAAGCGUGGGGCUCAACCCCAUACAGCCUUGGAAACUACCAAGCUAGAGUGCUUGAGAGGUAAACGGAACUCCAUGUGUAGCGGUGAAAUGCGUAGAUAUAUGGAAGAACACCAGUGGCGAAGGCGGUUUACCAGCAAUGCACUGACGCUCAGUCACGAAAGCGUGGGGAGCAAAUA